GGUGACGUACUGAUUUUUUUUGGGAUUUUUUCAGUCCCCCAAAAAUGUUCAUUUUAAUUGUAGAAUGUGAUGCCCCGGGAAAAAGGCUACAACCCCUGCUUUUUAUGCCUACCAAGUUCCUCAGGCAGCCUCACUAGCUACAGCUAAGCAGAGGCUGCACACUGCAUGGACUGCUGGUCUGGAAGGGAAUAGGGAGAGAAAAAGGGUUUAGGGGCUGAAAAUAGGUGGUGGGGGACAAAAGAUUUAGGCACUUAUUUUACUCCUGGAACCCCCAGCCUGGAAUGGGAGUCCCAAUCUUAGACGAGUGGGUGUAUUUUUGAUCUCAAAUUAAGACUUGGAAUACCAAUUGAUAAGUGUGGAGAAUUGACUUCAGAGGACAGUUGGUGUUCAGUGAGUUCCUUUUGGGAUUAUCAGCCACCUUCACCUCUCCUCUGCUGCUCAAGAGGGUGAAGGAAAAAAGGCCGAGGUUUAUGGUUGUGAGCAGCAAGCCAGGUUCAGCGGGACAGGAGAGGCAGGUCACUGGAGUUCAUGAUGAGACUUGAGUCAAGAUUCAGACUUUCUGUCUAUCUACAGGUCUGUACAACGCUCCUGCUUGCUGUAGUGAUCAAACUGGCUCUUCCAAUGCAUCAUAUAGGAACUCCAGCGGUGGAACUCUGCCUUCCAUUGCCGUUCGGCAUCAUCAAAGUUAUCUGGG